UACGGAGGGAGCUAGCGUUAUUCGGAAUUACUGGGCGUAAAGCGCACGUAGGCGGCUUUGUAAGUUAGAGGUGAAAGCCUGGAGCUCAACUCCAGAAUUGCCUUUAAGACUGCAUCGCUUGAAUCCAGGGAGAGGUGAGUGGAAUUCCGAGUGUAGAGGUGAAAUUCGUAGAUAUUCGGAAGAACACCAGUGGCGAAGGCGGCUCACUGGACUGGUAUUGACGCUGAGGUGCGAAAGCGUGGGGAGCAAACAGG
rnacentral:rRNA from 1 species